rnacentral:rRNA from 1 species
UACGUAGGGGGCAAGCGUUGUUCGGAAUUAUUGGGCGUAAAGGGCUCGUAGGCGGUCUGUUGCGUCGGGAGUGAAAACUUACAGCUUAACUGUGAGCGUGCUUCCGAUACGGGCAGACUUGAGGUAUUCAGGGGAGAACGGAAUUCCUGGUGUAGCGGUGAAAUGCGCAGAUAUCAGGAGGAACACCGGUGGCGAAGGCGGUUCUCUGGGAAUAUCCUGACGCUGAGGAGCGAAAGUGUGGGGAGCGAACAGG